AGCGAACGCUGGCGGCAGGCCUAACACAUGCAAGUCGAACGCCACCCCAGGGGAUCGUCGCACGGGUGAGUGUCACGUGGGAGCGUCUGCUUUGAGUCUGAGAAACCCACCUAGACUUGGGUUAUAACCCCGGAAGACUUCUGCGAAAAAGAUUUAUCUCCUUUGGAUGGGCGCGCGCGUGAUUAGAUCGUUGGGGUGGUAAAAGCGCCCCAAGGCGACGCUCAGUAGCUGGUCUGAGAGGAUGAUCAGCCACACUGGGACUGAGACACGGCCCAGACUCCUACGGGAGGCAGCAGUGGGGAAUAUUGGACAAUGGGGGCAAGCCUGAUCCAGCAAUGCCGCGUGAGUGAUGAAGGCCUUAGGGUUGUAAAGCUCUUUUACUCGGGAUGAUAAUGACGGUACCCACAGAAUAAGCCCCGGCUAACUUCGUG
rnacentral:rRNA from 1 species